UUCUGAAAAAGGCAAGUUGCAUCGAAAGAGCAAUACGCAAAAUUACCGGUCUAAGGGCAGCGCCUAUGACAGCGGGAUCGCCAGA
rnacentral:ncRNA from 1 species